UACUAUGCGAGGAGAUUAUAGAGAGGACUCUCUUGUGACCACUGCAGGCUUCUAGAAGAACUGAGUCAGCUGCAGAUCAGAGAUGGAGAGGAGAGGAAUCGCUGAGAAGAAAUGAAACACUUCAACAAAUUCACUCUGUGGGACAGUUGCAAUUUAAGCGAUGUUCAUUAAUUUCAAGGACAAACAAGUUAGAGUGAGGAGGUUAAAAAAUGUGUUAAGUGUUAAUAUUACAUACGGAGAAAGAGAUUUUAAUUGUUCUUUUACAAAAACACUUAGAAUAUUUAUGGAAAUAAAUUUUCAUUCCAUUUACCUCAAUCUCCACUACACUAGAUCAGUGUAGACGUUUAUAUGGACAUAUAAUUAAUGACACAUAUAUGAUCAGGAAAAUAACAAAUGCAUGUAUUACAGAAAACUGUAUGAUCUUGGCCGUGCUUUUUAUUGUGAGUAGUUGAUAAUAUUGAUAGUAGUGGUAUGAUUGUAUGCCUGAAAUGGCAAGAAUUAAAUAGCAAAAUAUUUAAAGCCAAUUUCAAUUUGUUCAAUUCAAUAAGGCUAACAUAUGAGAAGUAUGUGAUUUAUUAGAAUAAGUGGAGGAAAAUCAAAGCUAGUGGGAAAACUUCAUAGAUUCUAUGAUUUUUUUUUUUCUGAGAAGCUACAGAAAUGUGUAAAGGAAGAUAUUUUGACACAAAUGAAAAAAUUCAGUUUAUUUUCAAGC
rnacentral:lncRNA from 1 species